UACGUAGGUGGCAAGCGUUAUCCGGAUUUACUGGGUGUAAAGGGCGUGUAGGCGGGACUGCAAGUCAGAUGUGAAAAUUAUGGGCUCAACCCAUAACCUGCAUUUGAAACUGUAGUUCUUGAGUGAUGGAGAGGCAGGCGGAAUGCCUAGUGUAGCGGUGAAAUGCGUAGAUAUUAGGAGGAACACCAGUGGCGAAGGCGGCCUGCUGGGCUUUAACUGACGCUGAGGCACGAAAGCAUGGGGAGCAAACAGG
rnacentral:rRNA from 1 species